rnacentral:rRNA from 1 species
UACGGAGGGUGCGAACGUUAAUCGGGAUCACUGGGCGUAAAGCGCACGUAGGCGGAUUGUUAAGUCAGGGGUGAAAUCCUGGAGCUCAACUCCAGAACUGCCUUUGAUACUGGCGAUCUUGAGUCCGGGAGAGGUGAGUGGAACUGCGAGUGUAGAGGUGAAAUUCGUAGAUAUUCGCAAGAACACCAGUGGCGAAGGCGGCUCACUGGCCCGGUACUGACGCUGAGGUGCGAAAGCGUGGGGAGCAAACAGG